rnacentral:lncRNA from 10 species
CAGGAAUAUGCCAAGCAGGCGCUUUCAGGAAAUGGAAUAUUAAAAAUCCAAGAAAACAAUGGAAGGCCUAAAAGAAAGAACAAUGCCAUGGCGAGGUACUCAGAGCUGAGGGAGGAAGAUUGCUGCAGCCAGUGAGCUAAGCGGAAAGAAUAUCCUGGGCUUCCUUGGGAUCCGAUGUGGACUUGGUCCAGCUGCAGAUGAGGAAAUCCAAGCUCAGAAUGGAUAAUUCACCUAAGGAAAUACAG